UACGUAGGGUGCGAGCGUUAAUCGGAAUUACUGGGCGUAAAGUGUGCGCAGGCGGCCGAGCAAGUCGAGUGUGAAAGCCCCGGGCUUAACUUGGGAAUUGCGCUCGAAACUACUUGGCUGGAGUGUGGCAGAGGAAGGUGGAAUUCCAGGUGUAGCGGUGAAAUGCGUGGAGAUCUGGAGGAACACCGAUGGCGAAGGCAGCCUUCUGGGCCAACACUGACGCUCAUGCACGAAAGCGUGGGGAGCAAACAGG
rnacentral:rRNA from 1 species